ACCAGUGUGGCAUAGUGGUUUGAGCGCUGGACUAGACUCUAGAGACCAGGGUUCAAAUCUUCCCAGUGGAG